rnacentral:tRNA from 1 species
GCCCUGAUGGCUCAGUGGUUAAGCACUUGGCUGUUAACCAAAAGGUUGGUGGUUCAAACCCACUAGAGGCU